CAUCCAUGUAGCACUCUCCAUAGGGAGGCAGCAAGAAGGGGCUGCUCCUCCACAGAUACCACUUGUGCCCCGUGGAAAGCCCAGGAGGUGCUUGCUGUGCUGAGCUAGGGGCUGUGCCCAGAGUGGUGGGCACAAGGAACCUGUCUCAAUUGCCUGGGGCCUUUCCUUGUCCCGCAGGAGGAUGCUGAGCUCUCAGACCCUGGUGCUCUAGCCCUGUCUUUCACAGGACUUUCUUUCCUGAAUCAUGCAUUUACAUGGUCUGAUGUGAUCCACCCCAUCCUGUCUCUGCACAGUGUGGCCUGGAGCCCCUUGAGGUGCUUCCUUGGACCCCAGAGCCCCAGCUCCCACAGCUUUGUUGUCCUGCAAGGCUGACACUCCCUAUCCCCAGGAGAUCCAGGGAGGAGAAGCAACUGAGGAGCUGCCUGUGGAAACUGGAAGGGGCUGCCUGGAGCCUGGCCCACCUCAGCCACUCUGCCUGGAUGGUGCUGUUGACGGUGCAGAACUGAGCACUGAGGCCCAUAGCUGGCACGAGCACCCUGGGGGGUCACCCGGAGCUGCUGGCCAAGGAUGUGGGAGGCCCCGCAGUGCCAGGCUCUGCACUGGAUGUUCCUGCAGCUCCCUUGAGUACCUGCAGGCAGCUGGACAGGCACUGUGCUCACAGUCCUGUUGGCAGGGCUCCAGCUCCCACCUCAAGGAUGCCCAGGGUGAAAGGAAGAACCCAAGCCUGUGGCUUCUAAGAGAGACAAGUCAGGAGGAAUGACAGGGGACAGGCCAGCAGUGAUGGAGAGACAGGUGUCUGCCCCAUCUGUUCAGGUGGGUGCUUGGCAGGGGUGUCCUCUGGUGGCCAGGGGACACAAAGAAGCAAAUGGGGAUAGUGGUGGCAGUUCUAUAGCUGGGACACAUCACUCCUGCUGGUGCCCUGGCACUGGAGGGGCAUCACAGUGUAUUCCCAGGCUGCCGUGAGAACAAUCAGGGAGGGUGUCAGUCCAAACCCUAUAUCAUCCCAACAUUAGUGAGCUUGUGACAACCAUAUCACUUUCCCUUUCCACAGGCCACUUCCUGCUGAAUCUGCUCUCCACACAUGCCUCCCAGUGUGGAGAAGAACCUGCUGUAGCCUGGCCUUCCUUGUCCCCUGCUGCCUGAGUGCCCUGCGCCAUUUGCCAGCUGCCCUUUGGCAUGGCAGAGGUGGAGCAGCAUGCCUGCAACUGCAGGGAAACACCAGGAGCCCUGUCCUCACCCCAGUGCCUGCAGUAGGACAGCAGAGCUGGGGACAAACUGUGUCACCACCUCUGAGGGCUGAACCUGCAGUACUCCAAGGGGCAGAGACACUGCAGCCCCCAGACAUCUGUGGCAAGGCUGGUGUGAGGAUGGAGAAGGUGCUUCCAGCCCCAUGGCCAGGUUUGGUGGGGUUUGAAGCACUGUAAUGGCUGGGGUUGCUACUGGAGAAGAGUAAGUCAAAGAAGGAAAAUAAGAAAGUUCAGAUUUCUGUCUAUGACUGCUUGGUGGUACAGCAGGUU